rnacentral:lncRNA from 1 species
CUGUUUGAAUUAGCCAACUUCCUCGAGUUCUUUAAUUAAAAAACAAUCAAAACAUGAUCUACGUGUUAUCUGGUGUAAUCAUCGCGUUUGGUUGCCAUCGUUACGACUGUCAUCUUCAAGUGCUUAACCGCCGCUUUAGCAGACGACAGCUGUAAACAAAAGCAAGGCCAAGAUCAAAGACACUUUUUUUUUCCUUUUUUUUUGAGCAGCCUUUCCUCUUUUUAGGAUUGGAACAAAGAUUGGAAGCCUGGUCCAUAUCGCAAGACAGGUGCUUAAAGAAGUGACACUGCAGAUGGACUCGGAUAUGAUGAUAAAACAAGCUGUAAAAAAUGAUAAUGAGCCUCCUGCAAUCUUUGAGGUGAGAGAAAAUUUUGAUGACAUAAAAAGGGAGAGUGAGGAAGCAGCAGAAGAUAACCCUGAAGGGAGCUCCAACGGAGAUGAGAAUGGAGAUGAUGAUUUUAACUUGGAAGCAUUCAAUAAGGAAUAUCCUGAGCUUAGUGACACAACACACCAAAGAAAAUAUGGAUGUAAAGAUGCUUGAAAGUCUUUUCAUCACAAGAAUGUUUUGGCAGUGAUUAUUUGCGACUUCACGUCAUCCCAACAUCAGGGAGUGAAGCCCUUUAAAUGUGACGUUUUUACGACCGAUCCAACUUACGUCAACAUACGAGAUCACUGAUGAAAAACUGGCCCGUCCGUAAUGUCCGCACAAAUACUUAAACUGUCUGAAAACAUUUGACCAUUCACACGAAAGAAAAAACAUUCAGUGUGAUACCAGUGGAGCUGGAAAAGAUUUUCGCUAGCUGCUCUGGGUCAUCGUCAAAAGUUGCCAAUCCGGAGAGAGAGGAUCGAUUAUUGAGAGACGAUAUGAGCUGCAUGAAAUGCGACCGAAAAUUCCCUUUGAUUGGAGCGGCUAUCCAGCUGCGAUGUUCUACAGUUUAUUCUCCUCUUUUGAAAGGUCGUAAACAGCAGCAGCAGCAAAGCCCAGUUGUAGUUCCUAAUAAUGACGUGUCUGGGUCUGAAUCAACUCCAUCCUCGAGUAAUCUUCCGGGCAGUGACGUCAUCGUAGCAUCCAAUGAACCGUCUUCACCCACCAUCAGCGUGAGCAGCCAGAAAAGUGGCUCAGUUUGGAAACAAGUUACCCGCUUAAUCAACUAAUUAACAUGUUAAUCGUCAUCGGUAACCGAGGUGUUGUUCUGAAGUUCGGAACGAGUUGGUCUCACCUCAUUUUGCUUCGUGAUCAAAGACGAACCAAGAACGCGUGACUCACUUUCUCACUGAUAUUCUUGAGAAAUCCGGAUUUACUGUUCCGCCGUUAAGGACGGUACUCAUGGCGGAUCAAUGGCUGGCUUUGAUUGGACUCCGUCAGAGGAGAUCAGGACACUGUUUUGACGGGAUCUGCGGAUGAAGGUGAAACGGACGGUGUAGUGUAGGAUCUACGAGGACGAGUACCCGAUUCAUGCCGGAUAGCGAUUCUCGCGUAUUCCUCUUUUGUGUAAACUGACGGGUCGAAUGGGGCAAUAGUAAGCAACAGAAAAAUCACCAGCAAACGGCCAGUUAUAGCAACACAGCCUUGAUGGUCACAAGUUAUCGUAUGGUUUUAGUAUGUGGUGAUCCUCGUUGGCUGACGAGCCAUCAAGUUCAGUUUUGAACGUGGGGUGGGAGGGGGAGAGGGUCGCUUCUCAGCCUUCAGCAACUUGUCAAUCUCGUCUCUUUGGAAAGCUUCGAAGUAAUCGUAAGCAAACCGGAACAGAUCCGGUAUUAUUUUCUCGAAUGGACAGUUUCUUUGGCUACUAGAGAGGCGGUUGAUCAACUGAUUGAAGCUGUACGAUAUCGUUGGGAAGCCGUCUUCUCCGUUGAGCUGGAAAUCAACGAGCUCGACGACUAACAUCAUGUAAUAUCCCCUCUCGAUUAGACUUAUCGUUUUUCUUUAUUGUUACCUUGCUGUACAUGAAUUCUGUGUGAAGUGCAAUUAUUGUUUCAAAAGUGAGCCUUUUCAACUUGGAAGUCUAAUUAAUUACACAAUGUGCAUUCAGAUUUCAGAUAAUAAGCAAUUUAUAAUAAAAUUAUUAUUCAUGUAUUUUUUUUAUUACUGCUUUAAACACAAAUUCACUAAGCAUGUUUCCAGAAGGGUGACUUUGUUUUGGUAUUCAAAUAUUUGUAAAGCUUUUUUAUUCUAGAGUUCAGCGUGCCCCACUUUGUUGGAUGAGUGAGGGGUAAUCUUCUCGUUGCACAAAUUUCAUCUUGGGCAACAGGACCUAGAAUUAAGUUUGAAACAACAUAGGAGGAACAUUAUUGAACAAUUGAGUUGGGUGUAAGGUCUUUCGAGUGAUCUUAUUAGAUGGGCCAAGGAUAUCAAUGUAGUCAUUCUGGCCAAAAAGUGCUCGUUUGAGGAAUGAGGAGGCGGAGGCUUCUACGCCGACGUGUCCAGUGGCUGCAGACGAUUCUAUACCUGUGGAGUUGGGAAAAAGAACAGAGUGGUGUCGCAUACUUUUACGUGUGGAACCGGGCUACUGUUUGACCAAGCCACGCUAACAUGUCAGGACAUUGACAAAGUGGAUUGCGCCUUGUCGCCGACUUUCUUCUAUCUAAACGAUCCUGCUCUCCGUCCAGCCGUUACAGAACCGAUGGUCACGGACACUUUUCAGUCGUUCAAAACCACCACCACCACAACACCUUCUCCUGAAGAAACAACAACAUCCUAGGAUUUGGAAUUUUUAUAUAUAAAUAAUUAAUAAGAAAGCAUUACGUUCGUUUCACCAUCGCCGGAUUGAUUAGUCUUGUGCCAUUGAUUUCCAGAUAUCAAGAAUACAUUCCUAUCAUAGAA